rnacentral:misc_RNA from 1 species
GAACGCACAUGGCGCCUUCCAGUAUCCUGGGAGGCAUGCCUGUCCGAGCGUCGUUUCAACCCUCGAGCCCCCGUGGCCCGGCGUUGGGGAUCUGCCCAGGCAGUCCCCGAAAACCAGUGGCGGACCCGUUACAGGCCCUUCCCUUGCGUAGUAGCAUUCGCCUCGCAUCGGGAGCCAGCGGGCUUCCAGCCUCUAAACCCCCAUCAAGUCCGCCCCGGCGGCACCAAGGUUGACCUCGGAUCAGGUAGGAAUACCCGCUGAACUUAAG